rnacentral:lncRNA from 1 species
AUUCCAUCUUAUUUUAUCUUUCUUUUAUUUUAUUUUAUUUUUAUCAUAUUUACAUAACUCAUUUUAUAUUAUCACAUUUGGAAUAUUAUAUAAACUACAUCUAUACAUCGGUAUUUCUAUUUUUAUCUAUAUAUGUCUUAUGUUUGUUUUAUUUGAAUUUUUAUUUUUCAGUCAUUUAUUUAUUUAUUAGUCUAAUAUUUAAUUUUUGUUUCAGCUUCAUUUUUAUUUUUGUUUUUACUUUUACAAAAUUAUGCAAGUCAAAG